rnacentral:rRNA from 1 species
UACGAAGGGUGCAAACGUUGCUCGGAAUUAUUGGGCGUAAAGCGCACGUAGGCGGCAUUGCAAGUCGGAUGUGAAAUCCCUCGGCUUAACCAAGGAAGUGCAUCCGAAACUGCUGUGCUUGAGUACUUAAGAGGAUCGCGGAAUUCCCGGUGUAGAGGUGAAAUUCGUAGAUAGUCGGGAGGAACACCAGUGGCGAAGGUC